rnacentral:rRNA from 1 species
CCUACGGGAGGCAGCAGCGAGGAAUUUUGCGCAAUGGGCGAAAGCCUGACGCAGCAACGCCGCGUGGGGGAUGAAGGCCUUCGGGUUGUAAACCCCUUUUCUUGGGGACGAUGAUGACGGUACCCAAGGAAUAAGCCUCGGCUAACUACGUGCCAGCAGCCGCGGUAAUACGUAGGAGGCGAGUGUUGUCCGGAUUUACUGGGCGUAAAGAGCGCGUAGGCGGCCGGCUAAGUCUGGGGUGAAAUCUCCCGGCUUAACUGGGAGGGGGCGCCGGAUACUGGUCGGCUUGAGGGCAUCAGAGGGAAGUGGAAUUCCCGGUGGAGGGGUGAAAUGCGUAGAUAUCGGGAGGAACACCGGUGGCGAAGGCGGCUUUCGGGGCCUAUCCUGACGCUGAGGAGCGAAAGCGUGGGGAGCAAACCGGAUUAGAUCCCCUUGUAGU